UUUGAUUUCCUAACCAUAAAUUGUGAAAAGAUUUGUGGGGUACAUUUUUUUUUUAUUUUUUUGUUUGCUAUUCAGGGAGAAAAAAAUGAUUCUUAAAAGUAUGUAUAAUGCUUAAUUGUUUAGCUAUAUGUAUAUAAAUGUUGAAAGUUACGGUAGAAAAACGUGAAGGUUUUAGGCUAUGUUGCUCGGACUCUUCAAAAAUAUCAGAGAAUGCUUGUCGGAUUCUCCAAAAGCAGUGUAGCUUUGGAGAAUCCAACACGAGUGCAGCAUUAAAAGUGAAGAGUCCGUGCAACCUAGGUUUUAGGAUACAUUUCUUGAAUUUUGAACUGUUUAGUUAUUUUGAUUUUGUUAAAAGUGAUUCUUGAGUUUAUGUUCAUUUGGGGUUUAAGGGGUUUAGGAUUGAUACAUAUUUUUUUGUGUGUGUGUGUGUGAAGAUGCUUUCUUGAAAUGUGUUAGAUUUACUAUGAAUUGAUUUACAGUCUGUUAAGUUAAAACUGUAACAUUGUUUUGUAGCUAAGGGGUCUGAAUGAUAUGUUCUAUAUUAACAUUUUUUUGUUCUUUGGAUGACAGAUUCAAAAGAUUGGAUUUUUAAUGGAGAAUCAAACAAUAGGAAGAGGACAUGAAUACAAUUUGGCUUGGAGGAAAGCUGAAGAAGCAGGUUUAGUUUUCUUGCUUUGUUAUUUCCAGUAUCCGUAUUUGUCAAUUGUUUGAUUGAAGUAGGACCCGGAGGUCGUGGAGGUCGUAGAUUCAAGCUGUGGAAACAGUCUCUUGCAGAAAUGUUGGAUAAGGUUGUGUACAAUCCCUUGUGGUCCGACCAUUCCUUGGACCCCGCACAUAGUGGAAGCUUGAUUGCACCGGGAUGCUCUUUAAGUACUAUUGACGUGGAGAUAGAAUUUUUGAGUUUAUAAGCUUUAAGGCGAUAUCAAGCAACCCACUGGUUGGAAUGUUUCGUCGGGCCAUUAGGUAUAUCAAGCCAACCGUCUGAGAGAGAGUUUGUUUCUUGUUUGAGAAAUGGCUUUGUACUUUGCAAUUUAAUUAACAAUGUUCAACCAGGAUCAGUUUCGAAGGUUGUAGAAAUCCACACUCCUUCACAGUCAACCAUGUGGGAUUCUCAACCACCGCCAGCAUAUCAAUAUUUUGAGAACAUCCAGAACUUUUUAGU